UACGUAGGGGGGCUAGCGUUGUCCGGAAUCAUUGGGCGUAAAGCGCGUGUAGGCGGCCCGAUAAGUCCGCUGUGAAAGUCCAGGGCUCAACCCUGGGAUGCCGGUGGGAUACUGUCGGGCUCGAGUCCGGAAGAGGAGUGUGGAAUUCCUGGUGUAGCGGUGAAAUGCGCAGAUAUCAGGAGGAACACCAAUGGCGAAGGCAGCACUCUGGGACGUGACUGACGCUGAGACGCGAAAGCGUGGGGAGCAAACAGG
rnacentral:rRNA from 1 species